CCUANGGGUGGCAGCAGUAAGGGAUAUUGCGACAAUGGGCGAAAGCCUGACGCAGCAACGCCGCGUGAGGGAUGACGGCCUUCGGGUUGUAAACCUCUUUUCAGGGUGAAGAGGAAGGACGGUAGCCCUGGAAUAAGUCUCGGCUAACUACGUGCCAGCAGCCGCGGUAAAACGUAGGAGGCGAGCGUUAUCCGGAUUUACUGGGUGUAAAGCGCGUGCAGGCGGUGGUCUAAGUGGUGUGUGAAAGCGCCCGGCUUAACCGGGCGAGGCCGCAUUAGACUGGACCACUUGAGGCAGGUAGAGGCGUGUGGAAUUCCGGGUGUAGUGGUGAAAUGCGUAGAUAUCCGGAGGAACACCAGUGGCGAAGGCGACACGCUGGGCCUGGCCUGACGCUCAGACGCGAAAGCAUGGGGAGCGAACGGGAUUAGAUACCCCUNUANUC
rnacentral:rRNA from 1 species